GUUUUCUCUUUUCCAAAACCCUAGAGAGCCUCCAUCUCCAUUCCAGCAACUGAUUAUUUGUUACAUCCAAUCUAUUACAAUCUCAAACCCUAAAUCUCUGUCGCUUAUGACUUUGAAGAUUUCAAGCUGGCCGAUUUCAUAUAUUGAUUUCAUAUGGAUCGUGACCAUUUCUUUUGGAUCAUCGGACGACGACUCGGGCGAUUCCUGAGGCUGAAGACAACAACGGCAAGAGGCACUCCAGCGGCGCGAUUAGGGUUUCGCUGUGAACCCUAACAACAGUGGCAGCGGCGCAUUUUAUUCUUGAAGAUUUGAUUUUUUCCAAUGUAUCAAACCGUUUGUGUUCUUCUAAUCCGUCUCUUGCUCUAAUUGUUUAUUUGUUUUUUUAUUUUCUUCAGGUGCAAUCCAAGUUAAGUUUGUGAAAAUUUAGUCAUAAAAUUAAGCAUCAAUUUUGUUAUUAGAGAAGGCUUGCAUUUGGCUUUAUUUCAUGUAUGGAAACAAGCUUUGUGAUGACAAAGUUCCUUAUCUGAUUCACCAUACAUAUACUAUUUGGUAAUUUCAACCCAUUUUUAUAUGGUAUACCCAUUUGUUGAUUAUUACAAUGGCGCCACCGCAUUGCAUUGCAUUUUGGUCACCAGUGGUGCCGGUUAUAUUGGCAGUCACACCGUCUUGCAACUGCUGUUAAGCGGUUACAAGACGGUGGUGAUUGAUAAUCUUGAUAAUUCUUCUCAAGUUGCUAUCAAUCGAGUUAAACAACUCGCGGGUCAUCAUGCUCUUAACCUAAUUUUUCAUAAGAAGUGAAAAGCUCCACCUUCAAGAUCGUUCAUAGCAUUCAAAACCUGGUAAGGACCGACAUUGGGUUCAGAUGACUGUGGUAUUGGGCUUUCUCGGCUUCAAUGACGCAGAUACUAGAGAGGCUGCCAGCAUUUGGUGAAUUUAGAUAAUUUAUUUUGUGGACAAAGCCAUCCCGGAAGAACCGAUAGAGUAUAUUUGAAGGUUUUGACUGCGUUGGCAGCUGCUGUGAUCACAUUUGGUUGUGAUAUG